GGCGAACGCUGGCGGCGUGCUUAACACAUGCAAGUCGAGCGGAAAGGCCCUUUCGGGGGUACUCGAGCGGCGAACGGGUGAGUAACACGUGAGUAAUCUGCCCUUGGCUUCGGGAUAGCCACCGGAAACGGUGAUUAAUACCGGAUACGACAACUUCUCGCAUGGGAUGGUUGUGGAAAGUUUUUUCGGCCAGGGAUGUGCUCGCGGCCUAUCAGCUUGAUGGUGAGGUAAUGGCUCACCAUGGCUUCGACGGGUAGCCGGCCUGAGAGGGUGACCGGUCACACUGGGACUGAGACACGGCCCAGACUCCUACGGGAGGCAGCAGUGGGGAAUAUUGGACAAUGGGCGGAAGCCUGAUCCAGCAACGCCGCGUGAGGGAUGACGGCCUUCGGGUUGUAAACCUCUUUCGGUAGGGACGAAGCGCAAGUGACGGUACCUACUAAAGAAGCACCGGCCAACUACGUGCCAGCCGCCGCCGUAA
rnacentral:rRNA from 1 species